GGUUAGUUUUAAGAAUAGAAGUACUUCAGAAUUUGACCCUCUUCACCGCAGCUUUCCUUCUUGUGUUGCUUCCCAAGGGUUUUAUAGCUCCAGGACUUGUGGGACUCUCUCUUUCUUAUGCUCUAUCACUGACAGGAACCCAAAAUUUUCUGACUCGAUGGUAUAGCAGCUUAUCAAACUACAUCAUCUCAGUUGAAUAGAUCAAACAAUUCAUGCACAUACCAUCAGAGCCUCCUGCUAUUGUGGAGGACAUGAGGCCACGGUCUUCAUGGCCUUGAAAGGGUAGGAUAGAGUUGCAAGCUUUAAAGAUAAGAUAUCGUCCAAAUUCUCCAUUAGUUCUCAAGGAUAUCACCUGCACUUUCAAAGAAGGGGCUAGAGUAGGAGUUGUGGGAAGAACAGG